rnacentral:rRNA from 1 species
GCGACCCCAGGUCAGGCGGGACUACCCGCUGAGUUUAAGCAUAUCAUAAAGCCGGGAAGGA